rnacentral:rRNA from 1 species
UUUCCUACGGGGGGCAGCAGUGGGGAAUAUUGCACAAUGGGGGAAACCCUGAUGCAGCGACGCCGCGUGGAGGAAGAAGGUCUUCGGAUUGUAAACUCCUGUCCUUGGGGACGAUAAUGACGGUACCCAAGGAGGAAGCACCGGCUAACUACGUGCCAGCAGCCGCGGUAAUACGUAGGGGGCAAGCGUUAUCCGGAUUCAUUGGGUUUAAAGGGUGCGCAGGCGGCGAGUUAAGUCAGCGGUAAAAUUUCGGGGCUCAACCCCGACAAGCCGUUGAAACUGGCUUGCUAGAGUGGGCGAGAAGU